GAUCUAUUUUGUUGCUUAUCAUGACGAUGAAUGGGGGGUUCUUGCUCUUGAUGAUACGUUGUUGUUUGAAUUAUUGGUGCUGACUGGUGCUCAAGUUGGAUCAGAUUGGACUUCUGUUUUGAAGAAAAAGGGAGCAAGUUAAGUAAUGAACUAAAGGACAAUAAGGAUGCAAA